GGAGGGAUGGCAGAGUGGUAAUGCAGCGGAUUGCUAAUCCGUGAACCCAGUUUGGGUUCCCAGGGUUCGAAUCCCUGUCCCUCCGCCA
rnacentral:tRNA from 2 species